rnacentral:rRNA from 1 species
UACGUAGGGCGCAAGCGUUGUCCGGAAUUAUUGGGCGUGAAGAGCUCGUAGGCGGUCUGUCACGUCUGCCGUGAAAACCCGAGGCUUAACCUCGUGGCUUGCGGUGGAUACGGGCAGACUAGAGGUAGGUAGGGGAGAACGGAAUUCCCGGUGUAGCGGUGAAAUGCGCAGAUAUCGGGAGGAACACCGGUGGCGAAGGCGGUUCUCUGGGCAAUAACUGACGCUGAGGAGCGAAAGCGUGGGGAGCGAACAGG